rnacentral:rRNA from 1 species
CUCAGCGUACUGAGGAGGACAUUAACGAGUUUUGAAGGGAUUGUAGCUGGCCUUCACGAGGCAUGUGCACAUCCUGCUCAUCCACUCUCAACCACUGUGCACUUACUGUAGGUCGAUGAAAGGCAAGUCUAUACAUUAUAGUCUCGCUGGAAGCCUUCCUAUGUUUUACUACAAACCUUUCAGUUUUAGAAUGUAAUCUUGCGUAUAACGCAUUUAUAUACAACUUUCAGCAACGGAUCUCUUGGCUCUCGCAUCGAUGAAGAACGCAGCGAAAUGCGAUAAGUAAUGUGAAUUGCAGAAUUCAGUGAAUCAUCGAAUCUUUGAACGCACCUUGCGCUCCCUGGUAUUCCGGGGAGCACGCCUGUUUGAGUGUCAUGGUAUUCUCAACCUUCAUAACUUUUUGUUACUGAAGGCUUGGACUUGGAGGUCGUGCCGGCUCUCGUUAGUCGGCUCCUCUUAAAUGCAUUAGCGUGGACGUUUACGGAUCGCUAUCAGUGUGAUAAUUAUCUGCGCUGUUAGUGUUGAAGUAGGUUUAGUGUCUCGCUUCUAACCGUCCUUCACUGGACAAUUUAUCUGACAUCUGACCUCAAAUCAGGCGGGACUACCCGCUGAACUUAAGCAUAUCAUA